rnacentral:rRNA from 1 species
UACGGGGGGAGCAAGCGUUGUUCGGAUUUACUGGGCGUAAAGGCGCGUAGGCGGCCACCGCAAGUCGAUUGUGAAUCUCCGGCUUAACCGGAAAGGUCAACCGAUACUGCGGGCUAGAGUGCAGAAGGGCAACUGGAAUUCUCGGUGUAGCGGUGAAAUGCGUAGAUAUCGAGAGGAACACCUGCGGCGAAGGCGGUUGCUGGCUGACACUGACGCUGAAGUGCGAAGCGUGGGAGCAACAGG